rnacentral:rRNA from 1 species
UAGGGAAUCUUCGGCAAUGGACGAAAGUCUGACCGAGCAACGCCGCGUGAGUGAAGAAGGUUUUCGGAUCGUAAAACUCUGUUGUUUGAGAAGAACAAGGACGUUAGUAACUGAACGUCCCCUGACGGUAUCUAACCAGAAAGCCACGGCUAACUACGUGCCAGCAGCCGCGGUAAUACGUAGGUGGCAAGCGUUGUCCGGAUUUAUUGGGCGUAAAGCGAGCGCAGGCGGUUUCUUUAGUCUGAUGUGAAAGCCCCCGGCUCAACCGGGGAGGGUCAUUGGAAACUGGGAGACUUGAGUGCAGAAGAGGAGAGUGGAAUUCCAUGUGUAGCGGUGAAAUGCGUAGAUAUAUGGAGGAACACCAGUGGCGAAGGCGGCUCUCUGGUCUGUAACUGACGCUGAGGCUCGAAAGCGUGGGGAGCAAACAGG